rnacentral:sRNA from 1 species
UCAGGUGGUGUCCAGCGCGCAGGCGCAUACUUAUUCUCUGCGCGGCGUCCGUUUCUCCAGACUUUCCACUUUUGGCAAGCUAUGUUCCCUGGCUUGUGUCCAGUCUACAAAAGGUCUUAAAACCACGGAGCAGGGCUUUAAGCGUUUAGGAUCUCGCUUUUUGCAGGCUUUUGACAAGAAGGCUCAGAUCUCCACUAACCAGUGGCCACAUUUUACCAUCAUGAUCAUUGAGUAGCUCACAACCAAACCGUUUGCUUUAUCACAGCAAGAAGAGUGAGGAGAGCCAAAAAUGUCACAGAAGGUAAAUAUCACAGGUGGUUAUGACAAAGCAAUCUUAGCUCUUUUGUUGAAUCUCAUGCUCAAAGAAAAGCCAAUAGAUCUAGUACCCAAGUGUAGCAUAUAAAAGGGUGGAACCGGGAAGUGAGGAUUAUUGACAACUAUUCCAUAAAUGGCAUACCAUAGGUAAAUGCUGUGACAAAAUUCUAAGUGUUUUUCUAAGUUGCAGUCUCCCUUCCCAAAGCUGGGUGUGACUUUAAUUUGGAAGCAAGGUGAUGCUGAUGGAACUAACUCUGUUAAACCUAAUUUUUAUCAGAAUGCUAAAUGUUCUUACUCAAGUGUGGCUACCAUGCAUAUAAGACUAGCAUGUGGGAUGGUACAUGUUAUCUAGCAUGCACCUUCUGAGGCAGCUUAAAGAGAUGGAAGACAGAAAAAGAGACAGCAGUAUGAUCUUCCAUAGACAGGCCCAUGUUUAUUGGCAUAUAUAGUGAGUGGUGGGUCUACUCAGAAGUGUGGGAGAGUGAUUGCCUUCAGAAAAAGAUGGCCGCUACCAAUGAUGGGGUGGGAAUGAUUGUAGCUCCUAGCUUACAUGUCUUCCUGUAGUCCCUCUCUUCUGGAGCUGCCAGCCAAAGUUCAGACAGGCAUUUCAGCAGAUAAUAAGACUAUUUGUAAUCUUGGAGGAACCCUGUUUUAUAAGGGAGACACUGCAUUAUCUCAAACAAAGGGAUAUAAAAAACAGCAGGGGGUUGGGGGCAGGGCUGUAGAGGAGUGCCAUUGCUGGAGUCGGGUAGUUCUGGCUCUGUGGAAGAGGGGUCCUCUGGCCACUUAGCAGGAGGAGAGCUUUAACCUGAUUGGCUGUUAUGGAUCAUAUUGUCAUUCUGCAUUCCCCGGGGAGACAGAGAUGGGGAAGAGUUGGAUGGCUCAUGACUCAGGGGUCACCAAACUACUUUCAGGACUUUGAGGGCACCAAUCUCUGUUUAACUGUUUUGAGCUGACAAAGGAUUGAUGAGGGGACUAUUAUGGUAAAUUUAAAAAAAAAAAUCAGGCACCAACCCAUGCUAUUGCCGGCACCAGUGGGCCACAUGGCAUCUACGAGGUAUUUUCAUCUUAAUCAGCAAACUGUUCAGUUAAUCUCUUCCUGUUAAAUUCUGACCAUUUCUAAAUUCCCCAGAAAGACAACUCAGAACAACCACCCUCAGCCUCCCAAGUCCAGGACACUGGGUCAACGACUCUUCACAACUUCUUCAGGCUGAAUAUGGAUGUUGAGAUAUCUUGAUGGGGGCUAGGGAAAAUGGCCUUAAGAAGGCCACCCAACAAUUGGUGCAGUCUCUGAUGUUUGUCCUGACUGGAUCUGGCCAAAAGUCCCUGAGAUCAGGAGUUCAAGCAGCUUUUACCUGCCCUUCUUGAGACGAAAAAGACGGUCAUUUUGAAAUGAACAGCUGUCACUAUUGUAUGACAACCCAAAUACAUGCAAUGUUCAAUCACACCACUCAGAAGUCUUUGCUGAAAGUCACGGACGGCUUACAUGCUCACAAUAUAAAUAUUUACAGUUCAUUUUGGAAAUUUUUAUAAUCAGCUAUAUUAGUAUGAAAAUGCAUUAACAAAUUUAUAUUUGUAAUAAAAAUUACAAAGUAAUUUUAAAAGGUUUAUCUGUUUUUGUAAGUAUGAAUAUUUUUCCUGCAUGUAGAUAUGUGCACCAGUUGCAUGCCCUGUGCCCUCAGAGGCUCCAAGAGGGUGCCAGACGCAGAGGAACUGCGCUUCUGGAUGGUUGUAAGUUGCCGUGUGUAUACUGGGAUCGAACCUGAGUCCUCUGUAAGAGAACAAGUGUUGUAAACCAUGGAGAUGUCUUUCUAGUUCCCUACAACAUAAUUUUUUU